GGCUCAGGAUGAACGCUAGCGGCAGGCCUAACACAUGCAAGUCGAGGGGCAGCAUAAACAGCUUGCUUGUUUGGUGGCGACCGGCGCACGGGUGCGUAACGCGUAUGCAACCUACCCUGUACCUGAGGGAUAGCCCCGGAGAAAUUCGGAUUAACCCCUCAUAGUAUAUAUCAUUCGCAUGUUUGGUAUAUUAAAGGUUACGGUACAGGAUGGGCAUGCGUCCCAUUAGCUAGAUGGUGAGGUAACGGCUCACCAUGGCGACGAUGGGUAGGGGGCCUGAGAGGGUGGUCCCCCACACUGGUACUGAGACACGGACCAGACUCCUACGGGAGGCAGCAGUGAGGAAUAUUGGUCAAUGGGCGCAAGCCUGAACCAGCCAUGCCGCGUGCAGGAAGACGGUUCUAUGGAUUGUAAACUGCUUUUAUACAGGAAGAAACCUCCCUACGUGUAGGGACUUGACGGUACUGUAGGAAUAAGGAUCGGCUAACUCCGUG
rnacentral:rRNA from 1 species